rnacentral:rRNA from 1 species
GUGGGGAAUUUUGGACAAUGGGCGCAAGCCUGAUCCAGCAAUGCCGCGUGCAGGAAGAAGGCCUUCGGGUUGUAAACUGCUUUUGUACGGAACGAAACGGUCCUGGCUAAUACCCGGGGCUAAUGACGGUACCGUAAGAAUAAGCACCGGCUAACUACGUGCCAGCAGCCGCGGUAAUACGUAGGGUGCGAGCGUUAAUCGGAAUUACUGGGCGUAAAGCGUGCGCAGGCGGUGCUGUAAGACAGGCGUGAAAUCCCCGGGCUCAACCUGGGAAUUGCGCUUGUGACUGCAGUGCUGGAGUGCGGCAGAGGGGGAUGGAAUUCCGCGUGUAGCAGUGAAAUGCGUAGAUAUGCGGAGGAACACCAAUGGCGAAGGCAAUCCCCUGGGCCUGCACUGACGCUCAUGCACGAAAGCGUGGGGAGCAAACAGGAUUAGAAACCCGGGUAGUCC